rnacentral:lncRNA from 1 species
UUAUUCUUUUGGAGUGAUGAUAAACAACCUAUUUGUUAACAUAUGAAUUCAAAGCACUAACUUAUUUGCUCUUGGAGCAUCUGAAUCUUCCAGUCUGAGGAAUUCUCAGGUUUCUCUAGGAAGAGGCAUGAUAUAUGAAUCUGGAAUGACAACAGCCAAGUCAAGAGGUCCCCCAAGGGCCAAGGUCAGAGAGGUCAGAACCACAAGAGGGUGAUCCUUGAGCAGAUGUCCAGGAUGGAGACAGGGCCAAAGGGUGGACAGCACCCCUCGCCCAGCUGUGGCCACUGCAGGAAGGUUCCUGAAAGUCACAGGUCCACUAGCCUCCUCCCCAUCCAAGUGACUGCUCUUCUACUGCUUUCUGUGAGAAUAGUCUUAAAUGGAAUCUCUGUUUCAUAAAUGAUGGAACUCUGUAAA